rnacentral:rRNA from 1 species
UACAGAGGGGGCAAGCGUUAUUCGGAAUUAUUGGGCGUAAAGGGCGCGUAGGCGGCCUUUCAAGUGACGGGUGAAAUCCCUCGGCUUAACCGAGGAACUGCCUGUCAGACUGGGAGGCUUGAGACCGGGAGAGGUGAGUGGAAUUCCCAGUGUAGCGGUGAAAUGCGUAGAUAUUGGGAGGAACACCAGUGGCGAAGGCGGCUCACUGGACCGGUACUGACGCUGAGGUGCGAAAGCGUGGGGAGCAAACAGG